rnacentral:rRNA from 1 species
UACGAACUGUGCGAACGUUAUUCGGAAUCACUGGGCUUACAGGGUGCGUAGGCGGCUCAACAAGUCAGGUGUGAAAGCCCCCGGCUCAACCGUGGAACUGCGCUUGAAACUGUUGGGCUCGAGUCAGCUAGAGGUACACGGAACUUCCAGUGGAGCGGUGAAAUGUGUUGAUAUUGGAAGGAACACCGGAGGCGAAAGCGGUGUACUGGGGCUGGUCUGACGCUGAGGCACGAAAGCCAGGGGAGCGAACGGG